CCGUGGGCGUGGCUAACCGCGUCUGUCUGUUAAAGGUAGCAGGUUGUACAUGGCGAGCGGGUUACUCACUGAGGACUGGUGAUUGGUGUAAUGGAAGCCGUCUCUGAACCGCAUUUAAUGACGGAGAAUUACAGAAUUGGAGAGAAAACGCAGCACUGAGCAACUUGUAGACUUAACACCCGACUGUAGAAUCCCUUCUAUUGUGUGCUGGAAGAUCGCUGGACUUGAAGCAACUCCAAAUGGUGGCCUGUUUGUCCAAAGCCCAGGCUGACCCCCCACCCCUUCAACCUUUGCAGCAAUGCUGGCAGCACUAUUUCCCAAAGACAACCUCUGGAUAUGACGCUGAGCACGUGCAAUCAACUUCUUCUUUGGUCGACCAUGGCGAGGCCUGUUCUGAGUGGAACCUGUCCUGUUAAACCGCUGUAUGGUCUUGGCCACCGUGCUGCAGCUCAGUGUCAGGGUCUUCGUAAUCUUCUUAAAGCCUAGGCCAUUUUUAUGUAGAGCAAGAAUUCUUUUUUUUCACAUCCUCAGAGAGUUCUUUGCCUUGAGGUGCCAUGUCGAACUUCCAGUGACCAGUAUGAGGGAGUGUGAGAGUGAUGACACCAAAUUUUACACACCUGCUCCCCAUUCACACCUGAGACCUUGUAACACUAACAAGUCACAUGACACCGGGGAGGGAAAAUGGCUAAUUGGGCCCGAUUUGGACAUUUUUACUUGGGGGUGUACUCACUUUUGUUGCCAGCGGUUUAGACAUUGUGUGUUGAGUUAUU